rnacentral:rRNA from 1 species
CGGUGCGACCAUACCAGUACUACUGCACCGGAUCCCAUCAGAACUCCGCAGUUAAGUGUUCUUGGGCGAGAGCAGUACUAG